AUUAUUAUAACAAGACUUAAUAUGCGACUUUAAUUUCGGUUAAUCGUAUUUUUUGUUUCUAAGUAAUUUUAAGUAACUGUUCCUGGUUUACGAGUUUGUGAAUCUUUUUAACUGACUCAUUUAAACGAACCGGUUCCAGAGCCAUUUGUUCGCGAAUCGCACAUCAGGAUAGCUUUGCGUGAAACUGUGUCGCGCGGAUUGUUUGUGGAAAGUUUUCCGACUUUCUCAAUUUUAAGGGAUCGUCGCGCACUUUUACUUUUUGCGGUUGCGAACAUUUUAGUCUUUUAGCUUGUCUGGAAGCUUGUGAAUGACAACAACUCUGACUGAACGAAAACAGACUCGUUUGACUCAACUAUUCGGAGACAAAAAAUAGAAAGUCACGUGGGACUGGAUGGACAUGCAUAGCCUGGAUGCACUGCAAGUCGCUUUGCUUUGAUAAAAGCGUCUGCUAAAUGCAUAAAUCUCAGUUGAUCUUUAAGACAGUUACUAUGAAUAUAACAUCUACUGCUGUGAAGAGAGGAGAACCAGAAGAAGACCAGAAAAUCCGGUUCGCAGAAGUGUGGAGUCCCUCCCAAUGCAUCUUUCUCAGGCAUUGCGACCUGAGGAGAACGGAAGGAGAAUUAAAUUGGAGGCCUAACAGAGAAGCAGGCGUUUUUCAGUCCAGUUAAAAAGGAAUGUUAAAUAAACACUGUGCUUUUGUGUCCGCGCGCCGCUGGUGCUCCAAUAACGCCACGGACAGCCGUGUGAAAAGGUGGAGUGAGGACGGAGCGUUUACAGCGGCUGUGGGAGGGUGUGAAUGGGUUGGCAGCAGGCGUGUGUGGGAUGCCAGAGUCCCACACAGAGCAGGAGCACAGAGCCUCCAGGUACAUUAGUGUCUCUGUUUAUGUGUGUGUGUGUGUGUGUGUGUUUCCAUGACUUGUGAAAAGUGCCGUGUGUGGGAUCGUAAGCAAGAGGGACAGUCGUCAGAGCGGCGGGUGUGUGCUCCAAUGACACCUGUCACCACAACUUACUGUGAGGACCUGCUGCUCAACACCUCCAGCACUAGCCUCACGCCACAGCUGGGCUGACGGGAGACGGGGCCGGGUUUACCCCGCCCCCGAGCAAGGUUUACAGCCAUGGACUGGAGAGGAAGGCAUGGGAUGGUGGAAGAAAACACGCCGCAUUCUUCAAAACAACGUGCCCUCGAGAACAAACACGAGAGACGAGAGCGAGAAUAGAGAGAGAGAAUAUUCAUUGAAACUUUGCACCAUGAUAAUAGAUGGAGGAAAUUAACAAUUCUGGAGUUGUUUGUA